UACGGAGGGGGUUAGCGUUGUUCGGAAUUACUGGGCGUAAAGCGCACGUAGGCGGAUCAGAAAGUUAGGGGUGAAAUCCCGGGGCUCAACCUCGGAACUGCCUCUAAAACUCCUGGUCUAGAGUUCGAGAGAGGUGAGUGGAAUUCCAAGUGUAGAGGUGAAAUUCGUAGAUAUUGGAAAGAAUACCAGUGGCGAAGGCGACUAACUGGGCCAUUUUUGACGCUGAGGUGCGAAAGUGUGGGGAGCAAACAGG
rnacentral:rRNA from 1 species